rnacentral:rRNA from 1 species
UUUUUCAUGCAUCAAAGCUCGUUAAGACUAGAUGGUGUAUCCCUACAUAGCGGGUGGGACCCACGGCGAAUGGUUCAUCAAGUCUUCAAAAAAGAAUAUAUACGAUUGCAUUGCAUAUACUAACGGAUGCGAUCAUGCCAGCACUAAUGCAUCGAAUCCCAUCAGAACUCCGCAGUUAAGCGUGCUUGGGCGAGAGUAGUACUAGGAUGGGUGACCUCUCGGGAAGUCCUCGUGUUGCAUCCCUCUUUUA